rnacentral:rRNA from 1 species
GACGAACGCUGGCGGCGUGCUUAACACAUGCAAGUCGAACGGAAAGGCCCUGCUUUUGUGGGGUGCUCGAGUGGCGAACGGGUGAGUAACACGUGAGUAACCUGCCCUUGACUUUGGGAUAACUUCAGGAAACUGGGGCUAAUACCGGAUAGGAGCUCCUGCUGCAUGGUGGGGGUUGGAAAGUUUCGGCGGUUGUGGAUGGACUCGCGGCUUAUCAGCUUGUUGGUGGGGUAGUGGCUUACCAAGGCUUUGACGGGUAGCCGGCCUGAGAGGGUGAACGGGCACCAGGGGACUGCGAGACGGCCCAGACUCCUACGGGAGGCAGCAGUGGGGAAUAUUGCACAAUGGGCGGAAGCCUGAUGCAGCAACGCCGCGUGCGGGAUGACGGCUUUCGGGUUGUAAACCGCUUUCGCCUGUGACGAAGCGUGAGUGACGGUAAUGGGUAAAGAAGCACCGGCUAACUACGUG